GCCGCUAGAGACAAUUUUGAAAAACAGCGAAAAUUGAUAAGAGGGGAGGCGAAAUUUAACCUUCUGGGUCCAAAAACACAGAUCUAAGAAAUGUCAAUUCCAUUAAAAAACUUGCUUCGAAACUCCAUUGAAACUAUCUUGAACAACGAUGAAGAUCAGCCAAAUCCAGCUGUAAAAAAGCUGAAAUUGGCAGCAAAAUUAGACCAAAAACGAGCUGAAAAAGGCGGACUAAAAUCCAGCCCCAAAACCACCCCGAAGCAGCUGUUAUUCCACUAGUUCAUCACUACUGCUUCAGUUGUCCAAACGCCAGCAAAAUACCACACAAAAGAGUCUCAAAUCAGCGUGUAAACUUGCUGAAAGUAACCCCAAAUAAUACCAUCAAAUUAGCUAAAAAAGCACACCUAAGUCCACCUAAAAUAUAGCUAUAAAUCACUCUGUCAAACCUCCUCGAAGAUUGCCGAAUUCAUCCUUUAAUAUGCAUAGAGAUCCCCAAAAUCGGAGUUCUAGUUAAAGGUACCGACGAGCUAAGUCGAGAUUCGAGGUUCCGGUGAGAGAUUCAAUCCGAGUUCCGAUUGUUGACUCAUGUAUCGACUCUUGUAUUCCAAUGUUAUCAAUGCUAAAGAUCUCAAUUUGAGGUUCUUUCCUUAACUUCCAG
rnacentral:lncRNA from 1 species